rnacentral:snRNA from 1 species
GGUGCUCACUUUGGCAGCACUAAAAUUGGAACGAUACAGAGAUUAACAUGGCCCCUGUGCAAAGAUGACAUGCAAAUUUGUGAAGAGUUCCAUAUUUUA